rnacentral:rRNA from 1 species
AACGAACGCUGGCGGCAUGCCUAACACAUGCAAGUCGAACGAGACCUUCGGGUCUAGUGGCUCACGGGUGCGUAACGCGUGGGAACCUGCCCUUAGGUUCGGAAUAACUCCCCGAAAGGGGUGCUAAUACCGGAUAAUGUCUUCGGACCAAAGAUUUAUCGCCUUUGGAUGGGCCCGCGUUGGAUUAGCUAGUUGGUAGGGUAAAAGCCUACCAAGGCGACGAUCCAUAGCUGGUCUGAGAGGAUGAUCAGCCACACUGGGACUGAGACACGGCCCAGACUCCUACGGGAGGCAGCAGUGGGGAAUAUUGGACAAUGGGCGAAAGCCUGAUCCAGCAAUGCCGCGUGAGUGAUGAAGGCCUUAGGGUUGUAAAGCUCUUUUACCCGGGAUGAUAAUGACAGUACCGGGAGAAUAAGCGCCGGCUAACUCCGUG